UGUUUGUUUUGGCGAGUUUGAAGGUAUUUUAGCAUGUGUAAUGGCAUGAAUGUGUUGAAUUAGUAAUCCCUUGUGUUAAGCCGUUGUUUUAGUGUUCUUUUGAUGAGUUUGGCUUGUUGUUAUGAAAAGUGUUUGUUUUGGCGAGUAUGAACGUUUUUGAGCAUGUGUAAUGGCAUGAAUGCGUUAAGCUGUUGUUUUAGUGUUCUUUUGAUGAGUUUGGCUUGUUGUUAUGAAAAGUGUUUGUUUUGGCGAGUUUGAACGUUUUUGAGCAUGUGUUAUGGCAUGAAUGCGUUAAGCUGUUGUUUUAGUGUUCUUUUGAUGAGUUUGGCUUGUUGUUAUGAACAUUGUUCGUUUUGGCCAGUUUGAACGUUUUUAGCAUGUGUAAUGGCAUGAAUGUGUUGAAUUAGUAAUCCCUUGUGUUAAGCUGUUGUUUUAGUGUUCUUUUGAUGAGUUUGGCUUGUUGUUAUGAAAAGUGUUUGUUUUGGCGAGUUUGAACGUUUUUGAGCAUGUGUGAUGGCAUGAAUGCGUUAAGCUGUUGUUUUAGUGUUCUUUUGAUGAGUUUGGCUUGUUGUUAUGAAAAGUGUUUGUUUUGGCGAGUUUGAAGGUUUUUGAGCAUGUGUAAUGGCAUGAAUGCGUUAAGAUGUUGUUUUAGUGUUCUUAUGAUGAGUUUGGCUUGUUGUUAUGAACAUUGUUCGUUU